GGACUGAAAAGAAGAAAACCAGAACAUUCUUCCCUGAGGGGACUGUUGUUCUAACGUGCCAUGCCAGUCUGGUGGAAUAUUACACAGCUGUGAAAAUGGAACCCUUUAUCUGAUUUUUUCCCAGCUUUAGAUGGCUAGCUAGAAUCUCCAGACAUGUGAAUAUCAGCCCACAUGGACUCACAAGGUACCAGGUGAAGAUUUCACACUAGAGAUGGCUAAAUUCAGCGUCUCAUUCCUGCAAGAUGCCUUUAAACACACAAAAGCCACUGUAUAUUGUUCAUAUGUACAAACACAUCUAGAAAAACAAAAGAAAAAUAGAAAAACAUGAGCAGGAAGGAUUUAAAAAAUUCAUGGUCACGAUCGCCUCUGAGGAACGGGGAAGGAGCGUGGUAAUAAGGAAGGGAACGAGGAACCUCAUCAUUAUUCCUUUCUUGCUUUGUUUGUCGCAGUGCUGAGACCAGAAGUCAUUUUAAGAUUUUCUUCUUUUACCAAAGACAGUGAGUCCAGUGGAGCAGACGUCAGCUUUCAUGAACUUGAAGUGGGGAGCAGACGGGACUUUCUUCCUCCUCCCUCCCCCCCUUCCACCUGCCCAUCCAAUAAGAAGACGUAGCGCUGGCCUCUGCUUCCUACAGGUGGGGAGAAGAAGAAAAAGCUAAAACAAAUCUUUCUCUUUUUUUCUUAACACCUUCUCCUCUGUAUCUGGGAAUCAGGACGGGGAGGGUCCUGGGAGCCACUCUUUGAUGGGGUUUUGAUGGAUGAAUAGAAGUUCUCCUUUGUGGACCAGGGAAGGGUGCAAAGAGGACCGUCCAGGGCUAGGAGGGUUUAAAAAGCUCAGUGCCAGUGGUUUGAAUGUCGCCAAAAUAUGUUGGAAUGUGGCCUUGUGACCAUUUGACCUUGAAUCCCCUUCUCCCAGAUCUGUGAAUACAACAUCUUUUUCCCUUGUAAACGGCCCAGUCUGCAGCGUUCAACUAGAGCAAGGGAGAGCAGGAGAGCAGCCCAAGGUCCUCGGAACCUACACAGUGGUGACGUUGCUCGCUCAGAGUUGAUGAGCAGCCGGGAGCGGGUGAGAGAGUGGGCUGGCUCCUGGGGGGACCGGUGAGCCAGGCUGAGGGUCUCAGACUUCACCCUGCGGGCACCGGGAACUCUGGGUUGACAGCGUCCUUCCCGUGGGACCCUGUGGCCUCCACUUCCUGCACGUCAAGGUUAAGAAAAAGUCCCACCCCACUGAGACGAUUCAGGUAUCUGCCAUUCCCACAGAGGGACCGUCCCUCUUGUCACUCUCCCUUCUUAAAGAGCAGCCACAUCCGUGGGGUGACAACAGACCACUGGGCCCUGAUGGACCAGAUACGAGGGACAGCAGCUCAGGAACGCCUGGAGACCUGGGCACCCAGCCUCACUGCAGCCCCUCAAGCAGAGACAAAGUCCCUGGACCAGGGCAGCUGAGCUGCGAGCCGCACUCCUGCCCUCCAGGGUCUAGGUCCAGCCAGCCCAGGGGCCACCGCGGGUUACCUGGACCCUCCUGCUCACCACACUGGAAGCAGCAAAGGAUACGGCCAGGCUUGUCUUUUAAGGCCUGGACGGUGGCGGGGCAGGACCAUGUGAUGACUCCCGAGAGUCUUGGCCUCUCCCUUCCUGGGCCCCUUCUUCAUGAAAAAUAAAGGCGAAU
rnacentral:lncRNA from 1 species